rnacentral:rRNA from 1 species
GACGAACCUUGCUAACGUUAUUCGGAAUUACUGGGCUUAAAGGGUGCGUAGGCGGUGCGGAAAGUCGGGUGUGAAAUCCCCCAGCUCAACUGGGGAAUUGCGCCUGAAACUACCGUGCUCGAGGAAGACAGAGGUACGCGGAACUUAGGGUGGAGCGGUGAAAUGCGUUGAUAUCCUAAGGAACACCGGUGGCGAAGGCGGCGACCUGGACGGACACUGACGCUGAGACGCGAAAGCGUGGGGAGCAAACAGG